GAGACAGUUCGGUCCCUAUCCGUCGCGGGCGCAGGAAAUUUGAGAGGAGCUGUCCUUAGUACGAGAGGACCGGGAUGGACACACCGCUGGUGUACCAGUUGUUCCGCCAGGAGCAUCGCUGGGUAGCUAUGUGUGGCAGGGAUAAACGCUGAAAGCAUCUAAGCGUGAAGCCCCCCUCAAGAUGAGAUUUCCCAUUUCUUCGGAAAGUAAGAUCCCUGAAAGAUGAUCAGGUAGAUAGGUUUGGAGUGGAAGUGUAGCGAUACAUGGAGCGGACAAAUACUAAUCGAUCGAGGACUUAACCAAAA
rnacentral:rRNA from 1 species